AGCAGCCGCGGUAAUUCCAGCUCCAAUAGCGUAUAUUAAAGUUGUUGCAGUUAAAAAGCUCGUAGUUGAAUUUCGAGACCGGUUUAUUGGUCGUGCUUUUGUACGUACUGGUAUUAUUGGUUUCUCCUUUCUGACGAAUCUUAAUGCCAUUAAUUUGGUGUUUUGGGGAAUCAGGACUGUUACUUUGAAAAAUUAGAGUGUUUAAAGCAGGCUCACGCUUGAAUACAUUAGCAUGGAAUAACGGAAUAGGACGUUUGAUUCUAUUUUGUUGGUUUCUAGGAUCGACGUAAUGAUUAAUAGGGAUAGUUGGGGGCAUUAGUAUUCAAUUGUCAGAGGUGAAAUUCUUGGAUUUAUUGAAGACUAACUACUGCGAAAGCAUUUGCCAAGGAUGUUUUCAUUAAUCAAGAACGAAAGUUAGGGGAUCGAAGACGAUCAGAUACCGUCGUAGUC
rnacentral:rRNA from 1 species